AACGAACGCUGGCGGCAUGCCUAACACAUGCAAGUCGAACGAGACCUUCGUGUCUAGUGGCGCACGGGUGCGUAACGCGGGGGAACCGGCCGGUAGGUUCGGAAUAACUCCCCGAAAGGGGUGCUAAUGCCGGAUAAUUUCUUCGGACCAAAGAUUUAUCGACUUUGGAUGGGCCCGAGUUGGAUUAACUAGUUGGUAGGGUAAACGCCUACCAAGGCGACGAUCCAUAGCUGGUCAGAGAGGAUGAUCAGCCACUCUGGGACUGAGACACGGCCCAGAAUCUUAGGCGAGGCAGCAGUGGGGAAUAUUGGACAAUCGGCGAAAGCCUGAUCGAGUAAGGCCGCGUGAGUGAUGAAGUUCGUAGGGUUGUAAAGCUCUUUUACCCGGGAUGAUAAUGACAGUACCGGGAGAAUAAGCUCCGGCUAACUCCGUG
rnacentral:rRNA from 1 species